rnacentral:rRNA from 1 species
AUAGCGUAUAUUAAAGUUGUUGCAGUUAAAAAGCUCGUAGUUGGAUUUGUGGCAGUCGCAUGCGGCCCGGCAUUCGUGUCGGUGUUUGCUCGCGUCGCCAUCCUUGGGUGGAACCUGUGUGGCAUUAGGUUGUCGUGCAGGGGAUGCCCAUCAUUUACUGUGAAAAAAUUAGAGUGUUCAAAGCAGGCUUAUGCCGUUGAAUAUAUUAGCAUGGAAUAAUAAGAUAGGACCUUGGUACUAUUUUGUUGGUUUGCGCACCAAGGUAAUGAUUAAUAGGGACAGUUGGGGGUAUUCGUAUUCCAUUGUCAGAGGUGAAAUUCUUGGAUUUCUGGAAGACGAACUACUGCGAAAGCAUUUACCAAGGAUGUUUUC